CCUUGUACACACCGCCCGUCACACCAUGGGAGUGGGUUGUACCAGAAGUAGGUAGCCUAACCUUCGGGAGGGCGCUUACCACGGUAUGAUUCAUGACUGGGGUG
rnacentral:rRNA from 1 species